UACGGAGGGUGCGAGCGUUGUCCGGAAUCAUUGGGCGUAAAGGGCGCGUAGGUGGCCCGGUCAGUCAGUGGUGAAAGCGCGGGGCUCAACCCCGCGUCGGCCAUUGAUACUGCUGGGCUGGAGCACUGUAGAGGCAGGCGGAAUUCCGGGUGUAGCGGUGGAAUGCGUAGAGAUCCGGAAGAACACCGGUGGCGAAGGCGGCCUGCUGGGCAGUUGCUGACACUGAGGCGCGACAGCGUGGGGAGCAAACAGG
rnacentral:rRNA from 1 species